GGUGGUUCUUGGGUGACGCACCCCGGAAUCAGGCCCCCUCCUCUCUGGUUCUAGAUACCUCACCCGAGAACCACA
rfam:Myotis lucifugus cont2.62136, whole genome shotgun sequence.